AGAAUUGAUCUUGGUUCAGGAUGAACGCUGGCGGCGUGCUUAACACAUGCAAGUUGUGCGGUGAUCUCAAGAAGUUUCGGACGGAAAGGGAGAGCAGCAGCGGACGGGUGAGUAAAGCACAGGACUUGUCCCGAAGAGGGGGACAACUGUGGGAAACCACAGCUAAUACCCCAUAAGCCGAGAGGUGAAAGCAGUAAUGCGCUUUAGGAGAGACUUGUGUCCUACCAGGUAGUUGGUGAGGUAACGGCUCACCAAGCCGAAGACGGGUAGCCGGACUGAGAGGUUGUACGGCCACAUUGGAACUGAGAGACGGUCCAGACUCCUACGGGAGGCAGCAGUGGGGAAUAUUGGGCAAUGGGGGGCCAACCCUGACCCAGCGACGCCGCGUGAGGGAAGACAGCCUUCGGGUUGUAAACCUCUGUUGCAGGGGAAGAAGAAAGUGACGGUACCCUGCGAGGAAGCUCCGGCAAACUACGUGCCAGCCGCCGC
rnacentral:rRNA from 1 species